rnacentral:lncRNA from 1 species
GCGGACCCCCUACCCGCAGCUCACGCCCACCCCACCCCCGGCCGGCCGCCUCCGCACCUGCCUCCGCAGGUUCGGGCGCUCCCUCUCCUCCCAGUCCCGGCCGUGCCCUCCACCCAGGGUGCCCUUCCCAGGGCGGCGAAGUUGCGGCGCUCUGGGCGGCCGCGCGUCCACCCACCCCGCGGCUUGCGCACCGAGGUUCGGGUUUGGACGUCAUUCCUCUGCGUCUUGCGAGCACCCCACGGAAAAGGGCGAGAAGCCACCACCCUGGCUAGCAGCCUGCACAGCCACAACCGUCCAGAAAUUCGGGAAAGGCUGCUUGCGCCUGGACGCACAGCGUUUCGGGUGCUUCCAGAAAGUCGCAGAGCCCAAGGCUACCAGGCGAGAGGGAGGAGCCUACCCGGCGCACUCCAAGCGCCUUGAAUCCCCACGGUUCUCGGCGAUAAAUCCGUGCUUUCGUUUAGUUUUCACGCGUAAUAAGGCUAUACCGUAGGACUUGCAGGUUUUGUAGCUGGACAGAAGUUGUUCUCCCUGCAGGCAAGUUCCUGGGCUUUGCUCCAAUGCUGCCCCGGGAUGUUUUGGUUGGUUUGGAGGAAAGCUGUGGAGUCUGCACCGUUUGUUCCAAAUAGGCGGCCCCCUGGUGGCUAACUGUGGGUGAAAAAUCAGGCCACCGAGGAGAAAGCUUGGCUUUGACAGGCCACUACAGUUGACAGCCCGAUCUGCGCAGGGGCCACGGAGCUAGGUGGACAACUUUGUAUCGCUGGAGGGGGGGUAGGAGGGUGGAUGGGAGGGCCAUAUGCGAGUCUUCCUUUACAGGUGGAGAAUAGGCCCUGAGGCCUGAUGGAACUUUGAAUUUUUUUUUCUCUUCCUGAGUGUAACUUGGAGCUAAAUUCCUUCUUGAGAAGGAAACAUCAUACGGAGAAUGAAGUAUAACAAACACCGUUGCUUCCCUUAGUUCAAAUGGCUUUGUUUUUCUGAUCUCAUGUGGCCUGGAAACUGCUGAAAUAAAAACUAAAUUACAACAGUAAAUAAAUAACGUGGC